rnacentral:rRNA from 1 species
GACGAACGCUGGCGGCGUGCUUAACACAUGCAAGUCGAACGGAAAGGCCCUGCUUUUGUUGGGUGCUCGAGUGGCGAACGGGUGAGUAACACGUGAGUAACCUGCCCUUUACUUUGGGAUAACUUUAGGAAACUGGGGCUAAUACCGGAUAUGACCUCCUCCUGCAUGGGGGGGGGGGGAAAGUUUCGGCGGUUGGGGAUGGACUCGCGGCUUAUCAGCUUGUUGGUGGGGUAGUGGCAUACCAAGGCUUUGGCGGGUAGCCGGCCUGAGAGGGUGACCGGCCACAUUGGGACUGGGGUACGGGCCAGACUCCUACGGGAGGCAGGAGUGGGGAAUAUUGCACCAUGGGCGGAAGCCUGAUGCAGCAACGCCGCGUGCGGGAUGACGGCCUUCGGGUUGUAAACCGCUUUCGCCUGUGACGAAGCGUGAGUGACGGUAAUGGGUAAAGAAGCACCGGCUAACUACGUG